rnacentral:rRNA from 1 species
CGCGCAGGUGGUUGAUUAAGUCUGAUGUGAAAGCCCACGGCUUAACCGUGGAGGGUCAUUGGAAACUGGUCGACUUGAGUGCAGAAGAGGGAAGUGGAAUUCCAUGUGUAGCGGUGAAAUGCGUAGAGAUAUGGAGGAACACCAGUGGCGAAGGCGGCUUCCUGGUCUGUAACUGACACUGAGGCGCGAAAGCGUGGGGAGCAAACAG